rnacentral:rRNA from 1 species
UACAGAGGGUGCGAGCGUUAAUCGGAAUUACUGGGCGUAAAGCGUGCGUAGACGGCUAUCUAAGUCGGGUGUGAAAGCCCCGGGCUCAACCUGGGAAUUGCAUUCGAGACUGAAUAGCUAGGGUACGGUAGAGGGAAGCGGAAUUUCCGGUGUAGCGGUGAAAUGCGUAGAUAUCGAGAGGAACACCUGCGGCGAAGGCGGGUUGCUGGGCUGACACUGACGCUGACAGCGCGAAAGCUAGGGGAGCGAACGGG